rnacentral:tRNA from 1 species
ACCUGGCUGGCUCAGUCGGUAGAGCAUCUGACUUAAUCUCAGGGUGGUGAGUUCAAGCCCCACGUUGGGCA